GACGUAGGGCGCGAGCGUUGUCCGGAUUUAUUGGGCGUAAAGAGCUCGUAGGCGGCUUGUCGCGUCGUCCGUGAAAACCUGCAGCUCAACUGCAGGCUUGCGGUCGAUACGGGCAGGCUGGAGUUCGGUAGGGGAGACUGGAAUUCCUGGUGUAGCGGUGAAAUGCGCAGAUAUCAGGAGGAACACCGGUGGCGAAGGCGGGUCUCUGGGCCGAUACUGACGCUGAGGCGCGAAAGCUAGGGGAGCAAACGGG
rnacentral:rRNA from 1 species